UACGAAGGGGGCUAGCGUUGCUCGGAAUCACUGGGCGUAAAGGGUGUGUAGGUGGCGCCGUAAGUCGGGUGUGAAAUUUCGGAGCUUAACUCCGAAACUGCAUUCGAUACUGCGGUGCUUGAGGACUGGAGAGGAGACUGGAAUUCAUGGUGUAGCAGUGAAAUGCGCAGAUAUCAGGAGGAACACCGGUGGCGAAGGCGGUUCUCUGGGCAUGUCCUGCGCUGAGGAGCGAAACGUGUGGGGAGCGAACAGG
rnacentral:rRNA from 1 species